UUUUUUUCUUAAGUUAUCUUGUCCGGCAAUACAAAUAUCAGACAGACAGGAGAACUAUUUUUUUGAAAAUUAAAAGAGUCGUCCGGUGUUUAAAAUACCGAACAACUCUUCAGGGGAUUGAGGCUAAACCAAAGAGGUUGGUACUUGACAGAGGGAGAAGCCAGGCGAGAAAGAGAGGAUAAUCAUAACAUAGAAAAGCUUGAGAGAAAGGGAAACGUGUUGAGAUAGAGAGAUGUUGCAGCUUGAGAGAGGAAUAGAGAAACUCAUAACCGAUUUGAAGAAAGCAAGGCUUUGCUCUUCUCUAAGACUGGGCAGCUGUAACCAGAGAAAAAAACAACUCUAUUCAGCUGUAACCAGAGAGAAAAACUACUCUAUUUUCAUCAACAGUUUCUCUACCUUUUUUUAUAACUUUCUAGAAAGAUUAUGGCUAAGCUGGUUCUUGAGCCGAAACCAGGUCUUGGAACUUUGCUAAGAGGCGCUGCAGCAUUCGCCCCCAUGGAGCUAGAUCCAAAAUGCCCCUUAAGGUUUCUUAGGUCCAUCUAGAUUAUCCAUAACUGGCGCAUCACCCCGUACAGGUCCCUGUUAGUGGAUAGAACUGCUGAUGCAAGUCGAACUUCUGCAACCUUACUGGUUGGGGCUUUGUAUCAUUCUCCCCCAGUAAGUUUCAUUUCGAACCAAAACCAGAGUCCUCUAAACUUCUUUUUCAUGGGUCCAUCACAUUGUACUUGAUGCAUUGGUUGUCACCAUUUUCCCCAACGUUGCUCUAAAAUCGUUAUUAUUCUAUUCUUCACAUGCAAUUGCAGAGAAUCAAUGGCAUUUCCAGCCAUGAACGCUUUUGCAAAUUCAUUUCCUGUAUAUUUUCCUCUCUUCCUUUUCCUGAGCUUUUCAGCCAUGGCUGACGAUGAAUCAAAAGAAGGAGACGCUCUUUAUGCCCUAAAAUACACUUUCAACCACCCUUUCCUCAACAAGCAUUGGAAUGGUCCUCAUUGGAAUCAGUUGUAUCAAUG
rnacentral:lncRNA from 1 species